rnacentral:tRNA from 1 species
GGGGUUGUGGUUCAGUGGUAGAGCGCUCACCUAGCACGUGAGAGGUCCUGGGUUUGAUCCUCAGUCCA